rnacentral:lncRNA from 1 species
CGUGGAAAAAUAUGACUAAGUAUGAAGAAUAAAUAAAUGCAAUAUAGAUCUUUGAAACUCGAGAGCUAUUUCAUCCUGAGGAAAACCAGUUAAAAAAUUUUUUUAACGACCCCAAAUCCAUUUAUGGAAAAACUACAAGUAGGUAAUAUUUAAAAAUGAUUAUUAAAAUUUAUGAUACUUCAAGGGACGACGGUGGAUUGUAUAGGCUAACUGCAAUUAAUGACAGUAUUUGUUUACAUUAAAUGUAAAACUCAGUUUCUUAGUUGCACUAGUUAUUUAUAGCGUUCAAAUGCCACAUGUGGCCAAGGGCUGUUGCUACAAAAUAUGUUGAGUGGGCUUAAAAAUACUCUUUUGCUCCAUUACCUCACAAUCUUUCAUUUUAGUGCCAUUCCAUCGCUAGAAGGUGCUUUUCAUGUGUAGAGUAAAUCAAAUAAUGCCAUGUGAUUUUUAAUAUUCACUACAGAUUUAAUAUUAAAAAGAAGCUAUGUUUUCAGAACAUCUCGUUUCCGAAUGCAUAUUAUACUAUCGCAGCUCUUACAGGUAGGUAUUCUUCAAAUUAGCAGCUGAAAGGAAAAGCUCACAGCGAGGUAAGGAGGCGGGGCUCACUGUAACGCUGCCAAGGAGAUAGAACCCUAGCACGCAGGUCCGGGAAGUAUGGGAAAAUCCUCCAUUGCGGCGCCGUGCUGUCAAUCAUCGGCAAGGGGGCCGACCCCGCCUCCUCUGGCUGAGGGCGGCGGCCGUUCUCACCCAGGCCCUCCGCCACAGCUUCUCCCAGAACCCAAGCCCUCUCCCGCUGGGGCCCUCGCCCUCCUCGCACCCCGCUAGCUCAGGCGCCGCGGCCUCCAGUGCGUCCAGCAACAGGAACGUGUCCUCCGCGGGCUCGUACACAUCUCUGUACUCGCCACGACCCACGUGCCCAUGCAUCGGCGUAGGAAAACUGGGGGUCGCCAUCUUCCUUUUCGCUUGUUUUUCAGUUGCACAUUGGCGUGUGUGGGCGAUACAUCUACAGUGAUGAGCUUCGUAUCCGAGGGAGGUGAACGCCCGAUUCAAACAUGUAUUUCUUCAUACAUUUCUCUGUCAUCUUUGGAGUUUCUGGUCUAGUGAGAGGCGCAGACAAUCAAAUGCAGGUAAGAAGUAAAACCACAGAAGGCUAGGAGAGCUUCAGACAGAGCUAUCCUGGUCUGAGAGCCAGGGAAGAUUCUCUAAGACACGGGAUGAGAAAUAAAGGGGCC